rnacentral:rRNA from 1 species
AACGAACGUUAACGGCGCGCUUAACACAUGCAAGUCGAACGAGAAAGGGCUUCGGCCCCGGUACAGUGGCGCACGGGUGAGUAACACGUAGGUAACCUGCCCUUGAGUGGUGGAUAACAUUCCGAAAGGAGUGCUAAUACAGCAUAAGACCACGGUUCCAUCAAGGAACAGGGGUCAAAGCGGGCCUCUUCAUGAAAGCUCGCGCUUGGGGAUGGGCCUGCGGCGCAUCAGCUAGUUGGUGAGGUAAUGGCUCACCAAGGCUAAGACGCGUAGCUGGUCUGAGAGGAUGAUCAGCCACACUGGAACUGAGACACGGUCCAGACUCCUACGGGAGGCAGCAGUGAGGAAUAUUGCGCAAUGGGGGCAACCCUGACGCAGCAACGCCGCGUGAGUGAGAAAGGUUUUCGGACCGUAAAGCUCUGUCGAGCGGGAAGAAAUGUAUCGUGGCUAAUAUCCAUGAUAUUUGACGGUACCGCUAAAGGAAGCACCGGCUAA